ACUCCUACGGGAGGCAGCAGUGGGGAAUAUUGCACAAUGGGGGAAACCCUGAUGCAGCCAUGCCGCGUGUGUGAAGAAGGCCUUCGGGUUGUAAAGCACUUUCAGUUGUGAGGAAAGGUUAGUCGCUAAUAUCGGCUAGCUGUGACGUUAGCAACAGAAGAAGCACCGGCUAACUCCGUGCCAGCAGCCGCGGUAAUACGGAGGCGCAAGCGUUACUCGGAAUCACUGGGCGUAAAGAGCGUGUAGGCGGAUCGAUAAGUCAGGAGUGAAAUCCUAUGGCUCAACCAUAGAACUGCUCUUGAAACUGUCAAUCUAGAGUAUGGGAGAGGUAGAUGGAAUUUCUGGUGUAGGGGUAAAAUCCGUAGAGAUCAGAAGGAAUACCGAUUGCGAAGGCGAUCUACUGGAACAUAACUGACGCUGAGAC
rnacentral:rRNA from 1 species